GAUGAACGCUGGCGGCGUGCUUAACACAUGCAAGUCGAACGGAAAGGCCCAAGCUUGCUUGGGUACUCGAUUGGCGAACGGGUGAGUAACACGUGUGGGAUCUGCCCUUCACUUCGUGAUAAGCCUUGGAAACUGGGUCGAUUACCGGAGAGGAUCACUUCUUGGGUGUUGUUGUGGAAAGUAUGUUCGGUUUGGUGUGAGCUGGCGGCCUAUCAGCUUGGUGUUGGGUUAAUGGUCUACCAAGGCGUCGACGGGUAGCCGCACUGAGAGAGUGUGAGGCGACACUGGGACUGAGAGGAGGCCCAGACUGCUACGGGAGGCAGAAGUGCGGAAGCUUGAACGAUCGGCGCCAGCCUGAUGCAGAGGCGCUGCGGGGGGGAUGACGCUGUUAGGGUUGUAAACUAUUUUCGCUAGGGACGAAGCGUUUUGUGACGGUACCUGGAGAAGAAGCCCCGGCUAACUACGUG
rnacentral:rRNA from 1 species